GUGCUUGCUUCAGCAGCACCUAUACUAAAAUUGGAAUGAUAGCACAGCCCUUGAGCAAGGAUGACAAGCAGAUUUGUGAAGCAUUCCAUAUUUUU
rnacentral:snRNA from 1 species